rnacentral:rRNA from 1 species
CUCCUUGCACCACACCGCCCGUCGUUUACUAUUUGAAGUUUACCUUUAGCGAAGUGAUAUCUCAUUGGUGUCACUCGAACUUGAGGCAAGCAACGAAGGGAA